rnacentral:rRNA from 1 species
AUUGAACGCUGGCGGCAGGCCUAACACAUGCAAGUCGAACGAGUGGCGGACGGGUGAGUAAUGUCUGGGACACUGCCUGAUGGCGGGGGAUAACUACUGGAAACGGUAGCUAAUACCGCAUACCAUCGGAUGUGCCCAGGUGGGAUUAGCUAGUAGGUGGGGUAAAGGCUCACCUAGGCGACGCUCCCUAGCUGGUCUUAGAGGGUGACGAGCCACACGGGAACUGAGACACGGUCCAGACUCCUACGGGAGGCAGCAGUGGGGAAUAUUGCACAAUGGGCGCAAGCCUGAUGCAGCCAUGCCGCGUGUAUGAAGAAGGCCUUCGGGUUGUAAAGUACUUUCAGCGGGGAGGCGUUACCCGAAGAAGAAGCACCGGCUAACUCCGUGCCAGCAGCCGCGGUAAUUC